AGGAGCCACCGAAUGCCCUGGAUGUAAGGGGACGGGAAGGAAUAAAAAGAAUGGAAAUAUAUUUGAAAGAUGGAAAUGUUUUGAGUGCCAGGGAUUUGGGCUAAAGAGUUGCCCCAGUUGCGGAAAUGAAGGGCUAACACCGGAACAAAGAGGAGAAAGAUAAAUAGAAGCUUUCCAACUAAAUUCAGAAGUAUUGUUGGGCCAACAUAAUACCCAAGCGGGAUACCCACGGGUCCUGGUUUUGAUUCACACGACUACAGUGGUCUCAUUCUUUCUU